GUCGUGAGAUGUGGGUUAAGUCCCGUAACGAGCGCAACCCUUGUCCUUAGUUACCAGCACGUUAUGGUGGGCACUCUAAGGAGACUGCCGGUGACAAACCGGAGGAAGGUGGGGAUGACGUCAAGUCAUCAUGGCCCUUACGGCCUGGGCUACACACGUGCUACAAUGGUCGGUACAAAGGGUUGCCAAGCCGCGAGGUGGAGCUAAUCCCAUAAAACCGAUCGUAGUCCGGAUCGCAGUCUGCAACUCGACUGCGUGAAGUCGGAAUCGCUAGUAAUCGUGAAUCAGAAUGUCACGGUGAAUACGUUCCCGGGCCUU
rnacentral:rRNA from 1 species